UCCUUUCAUCACCUUUGUUUCACAUUAUAUCAUUUGCUAUGUUAGAAAUUUGAUUGUAUACAAUAUCUUUUCGAUGAAUAUUAAAAAUUUUAGUCAUCGUUAAAUUGUUGACAAGAGGCAACUCUCUGUAUUCUUUUAUAUCCUGGACAGAAAAUAUUCUUAUCGGUAUUGUAGACAAAGCUGAUGAUGAAGGUGGCGUUAAUGUAAAGAACAUUCGCACAAUUUCGAGACAUAUCAAUUUCAAGAUCAACAAUAGUCUAGAAGCGUGGUUUUAUAAGCAUAAAUAUAUUUUGCACGUGUGAAAUAAUUUAACACGACAAAUAAUCAUAAUAUUUUGAAAAACGAUUCCUAAAUCACUUGUAUGAUAAUUAAAUUCAUUCUAAAGGAAUAUAAAUUAUUACCGUAUCGGUGCGUGACAUUUUCACAUAAAGUAAAGAGGUUGGAAAUUUACUAAACAUAUAAUCGCAAUAUAACUUGAACGUUUUCCAAGCAAGAAACAAUAUUUCGUUGGAAAAUAGAAAAAAAGGAUCGAAUCCAUGAAGAAAGUAAAUAAAUAGAGGGAAAAAAGGUCCAUCUUUUUCGAUAAAUCUAUAUAACGAUAGUUAUAGAAAGUCAUGUUCUCGAGAUACAACAAGAUCUCUCCGAUCUCUGUGUAACGGAGAUCUGGUACACCGGUAUGAUUCAGCGACGGUGUUUGGAAAUUUCCAGAUUUCACCUUGACUUUGAUUGCAAGUCGCACGCGAGCCUGAUCGUGCGAAUCCCUCAGAUACAGAAGGCUAGUACGUGUUACGUGUACUAAACAAAUCCACCGAGACGAGUUCAGAAUUCUAUCUCGUUGAAAAAACGUGGCGCGUUUUUUUUUUAUUAUGAAACGUAUUAAAACUGGAAAAUUUAUUUUCAUUCGUAAAACGCGUACAUUUAAUAAUUCAACUUUGAGACUGAGUCGAAUGUGACAACGUGUAAUCUAAUUUUUUCUCUAAUUCAAUUAAAAAUGAAUAUUUUCUCGUUGUGGUACGAAGUAAUUACGCUUAAAAGCAUUACGAAACGCGAAUAACCCUAGGGAAAAGUCUCUCUCUUUCUCUCUCUUGUAGACUAACAAACUUGCUUGACAUUAUCGUAGAAUUGAAAAAAAAAAAAACGAAUGGAGGAUGAAUAAUUGAAAACGCAAUAAUCACGAUACAGAUAUGUCUUAAUAAAACGGAGGGAGAUAUUGCUAUGCGUAAAUUGUAAAAUGAAUGUGAAUUAUGUUAGUACGACAAUGAGUUUCUUCUAUGCGUAUCUAACUUGGAAUGCAUACCGAAUGAAAAUUGAACCGCAUACCGAUGCACAUUGACUAUGCAAUCUAUGCCAAGAGAUGGAUAAUAAGGAAAAAAAAGAAACGUGUUUAAUCAAAUUUUCCAAUGACUAUUGAAUCUCUCGUGAUUUUCUUGUAUUGCUAUAAAAGAAAACAUUUUUUCUUUUUUUCUUUUUUCUUUGCAAGCUAAUAAAUCGGUUAAAAUCGACGAAAAAUACAAAGAUCGAAAAAAGAAAAAUUUCUGUAAUUUUCUUCGGAAAUAUCGAAAAUUGAACGAUCGUUACAACGACCAGUUUUCGGCCUAACUGGAUUGAUUAAACUUAGCACGUGCUGCAAACCGGCUCCACCGGACGAAACACGUAAUUACACGAUGCGGAUUCGCGUCAAUGUUUCGUAGUUUUCGUGAUGUUCGUUAUCCGACACGCGUGAAACACCAAUGCAAAAAAGAAAACCACUCUGUGAAUCAUACGAUUUAUCCGUUUCGCGAAGAGAAAAAGAACGAGGAGUGUGGUUAUGUUGACUUUCGAUAUUUGUAAAAAAAAAAAAAA
rnacentral:lncRNA from 1 species